GACGAACGCUGGCGGCGUGCCUAAUACAUGCAAGUCGAGCGAAUGGAAGGGAGCUUGCUCCCUGAAGUUAGCGGCGGACGGGUGAGUAACACGUGGGCAACCUGCCUGUAAGACUGGGAUAACUUCGGGUAACCGGAGCUAAUACCGGAUACGUUCUUUCCUCGCAUGAGGAAAGAUGGAAAGAUGGUUUCGGCUAUCACUUACAGAUGGGCCCGCGGCGCAUUAGCUAGUUGGUGAGGUAACGGCUCACCAAGGCAACGAUGCGUAGCCGACCUGGGAGGGUGAUCGGCCACACUGGGACUGAGACACGGCCCAGACUCCUACGGGAGGCAGCAGUAGGGAAUCUUCCGCAAUGGACGAAAGUCUGACGGAGCAACGCCGCGUGAGUGAUGAAGGCUUUCGGGUCGUAAAACUCUGUUGUUAGGGAAGAACAAGUGCUAGUUGAAUAAGCUGGCACCUUGACGGUACCUAACCAGAAAGCCACGGCUAACUACGUGCCAGCAGCCGCUGUAAAAC
rnacentral:rRNA from 1 species